rnacentral:misc_RNA from 1 species
GAUGAAGAACGUAGUGAAAUGCGAUAAGUAGUGUGAAUUGCAGAAUUCAGUGAAUCAUCGAAUCUUUGAACGCACAUUGCGCCCCUUGGUAUCCCGAGGGGCAUGCCUGUUCGAGCGUCAUUAUCACCCCUCAAGCUCAGCUUGGUGUUGGGGCCGGCCCGUCACAGGGCCGCCCCUAAAAGCAGUGGCGGUGCCAUCUGGCUCUACGCGUAGUAAUACUCCUCGCGACAGAGUCCCGGUGGUGUCCUGCCAGAACCCCCCAUCUUUUUAAUGAUUGACCUCGGAUCAGGUAGGGAUACCCGCUGAACUUAAGCAUAUCAAUAAGCGGAGGA